rnacentral:rRNA from 1 species
GAUGAACGCUGGCGGCGUGCCUAAUACAUGCAAGUCGAGCGAACGGACGAGAAGCUUGCUUCUCUGAUGUUAGCGGCGGACGGGUGAGUAACACGUGGAUAACCUACCUAUAAGACUGGGAUAACUUCGGGAAACCGUAGCUAAUACCGGAUAAUAUUUUGAGCCGCAUGGUUCAAAAGUGAAAGACGGUCUUGCUGUCACUUAUAGAUGGAUCCGCGCUGCAUUAGCUAGUUGGUAAGGUAACGGCUUACCAAGGCAACGAUGCAUAGCCGACCUGAGAGGGUGAUCGGCCAAACUGGAACUGAGACACGGUCCAGACUCCUACGGGAGGCAGCAGUAGGGAAUCUUCCGCAAUGGGCGAAAGCCUGACGGAGCAACGCCGCGUGAGUGAUGAAGGUCUUCGGAUCGUAAAACUCUGUUAUUAGGGAAGAACAUAUGUGUAAGUAACUGUGCACAUCUUGACGGUACCUAAUCAGAAAGCCACGGCUAACUACGUG